UACGGAGGAUGCGAGCGUUAUCCGGAUCUAUUGGGUUUAAAGGGUGCGUAGGCGGACUGUCAAGUCAGCGGUAAAAUUGAGAGGCUCAACCUCUUCCCGCCGUUGAAACUGUACGGCUGGAGUGCAGGAGAGGUAAGUGGAAUUCCUAGUGUAGCGGUGAAAUGCGUAGAUAUUAGGAGGAACACCAGUGGCGAAGGCGGCUUACUGGACUGUAACUGACGUUGAGGCUCGAAAGCGUGGGGAGCAAACAGG
rnacentral:rRNA from 1 species